AUUCCAGCUCCAAUAGCGUAUAUUAAAGUUGUUGCAGUUAAAAAGCUCGUAGUCGGAACUUUGGCCGGCGGUGAGCGUCCAAGGGCCUUCGGCCUUUGCGCAUGCGAUCCGCUAGCCAUGUACUUCGGAGGAACGCGUGUGCUUUUCACUAAGUGCGCGUGGGAUUCCGAUAGUUUACUUUGAGAAAAAUAGAGUGUUCAAAGCAGGCGUUUUGCCUUGAAUACAUUAGCAUGGGAUAAUGAAAUAGGACAUUGGUUCUAUUUUGUUGGUUUUCGGAAAUCGACUUAAUGAUUAAUAGGGACAGUCGGGGGCAUUUGUAUUCAAACGGCAGAGGUGAAAUUCUUGGACCGUUUGAAGACAAACUACUGCGAAAGCAUUUGCCGAGAAUGUUUUCAUCG
rnacentral:rRNA from 1 species